rnacentral:misc_RNA from 1 species
GAUGAAGAACGUAGCGAAAUGCGAUACUUGGUGUGAAUUGCAGAAUCCCGUGAACCAUCGAGUCUUUGAACGCAAGUUGCGCCCGAAGCCAUUAGGCCGAGGGCACGCCUGCCUGGGCGUCACACGUCGUUGCCCCCCCAUCUACUCCUUCGGGAUUGCGGGGGGCGGAUGAUGGCCUCCCGUGCGCCUCGUCGCGCGGUUGGCAUAAAUGCCAAGUCCUCGGCGACGCACGCCCCGACAAUCGGUGGUUGCGAAACCUCGGUUGCCCGUUGUGUGCGGUCGUCGCGCAUCGAGGGCUCGAAAAAAUUGCCGGGCUCCGGCUCGACUUUCAACGCGACCCCAGGUCAGGCGGGGUUACCCGCUGAAUUUAAGCAUAUCAAUAAGCGGAGGA